rnacentral:rRNA from 1 species
AGAGUUUGAUCCUGGCUCAGGAUGAACGCCGGCGGUGUGCCUAAUACAUGCAAGUCGUACGCACUGGCCCAACUGAUUGAUGGUGCUUGCACCUGAUUGACGAUGGAUCACCAGUGAGUGGCGGACGGGUGAGUAACACGUAGGUAACCUGCCCCGGAGCGGGGGAUAACAUUUGGAAACAGAUGCUAAUACCGCAUAACAACAAAAGCCGCAUGGCUUUUGUUUGAAAGAUGGCUUUGGCUAUCACUCUGGGAUGGACCUGCGGUGCAUUAGCUAGUUGGUAAGGUAAUGGCUUACCAAGGCGAUGAUGCAUAGCCGAGUUGAGAGACUGAUCGGCCACAAUGGAACUGAGACACGGUCCAUACUCCUACGGGAGGCAGCAGUAGGGAAUCUUCCACAAUGGGCGCAAGCCUGAUGGAGCAACACCGCGUGAGUGAAGAAGGGUUUCGGCUCGUAAAGCUCUGUUGUUGGAGAAGAACGUGCGUGAGAGUAACUGUUCACGCAGUGACGGUAUCCAACCAGAAAGUCACGGCUAACUACGUGCCAGCAGCCGCGGUAAUACGUAGGUGGCAAGCGUUAUCCGGAUUUAUUGGGCGUAAAGCGAGCGCAGGCGGUUGCUUAGGUCUGAUGUGAAAGCCUUCGGCUUAACCGAAGAAGUGCAUCGGAAACCGGGCGACUUGAGUGCAGAAGAGGACAGUGGAACUCCAUGUGUAGCGGUGGAAUGCGUAGAUAUAUGGAAGAACACCAGUGGCGAAGGCGGCUGUCUGGUCUGCAACUGACGCUGAGGCUCGAAAGCAUGGGUAGCGAACAGGAUUAGAUACCCUGGUAGUCCAUGCCGUAAACGAUGAGUGCUAGGUGUUGGAGGGUUUCCGCCCUUCAGUGCCGGAGCUAACGCAUUAAGCACUCCGCCUGGGGAGUACGACCGCAAGGUUGAAACUCAA